ACGUCCAUGGUGAAGUGGUUAUCAUGCUUGCCUUCCACUUGGGGUAAUCAAGUCUGAGUCAGCAAGCGGGACGGGUUCGAUUCCCGUUGGGCGUA